GUGCUGCCUCCUAACGUAUCUAUAUCUGUACUUGUGAAAAUAGUACGAGGUGAAACACUUUUUUUUUUUUUUUGGCUUUUAGCUGAGGUACUAAGCAAACGAAGCUCUGCCCACAACAUGAACAACGUCAAGAGGACCAGGGAGAAACCUAUCACAAGUCAGUUACACCUCAGCCAGCAGAGCUGAGCCUACAGGCCACACUGAGGAAGUGAUCUCCCUGGACUGAAUGAGGCCAGUCACAGAUCUGCCAUCACCAAGCCAGUCCUUAGAGGGACCUAUGAAGUUGUGUGUUUGUGAUGUCCUAUUAUGCUGGUUGAGCCUUACCAAGACUAUUUGUUUACCCACUGAUGGACCCAUAAGCUACUUGUGGUUGAAACUGCAUGUGUGCCCAUUGACGAAACCCCACCCUUGCCCCCAAAAUUGUUUUUAAGUGAGCUUCUUGGCUUCCUCUUCACAUGCAUUCUCUCUAUGGUAGGCACCAUCUUUCUUGAAGUCAGUGGAUGCAAAUGAAAUCUCCUUGUCCCAUCCCAUCACCAUGCUUACCUCCAAGCCCAACUUACUUAUGACAUCAUGCACAAACACUGCGUCAUGCAUUACUAUCUCUGCCCCUCAACUACUCUCCUAAACAGAGAUCUUUAAAAUUUCCUGUAGCAAAUAAAUAGUCAAGAUACCUAAAUCCCAAAAAAAACCCUCACUUUUGAAGUUAACACGUUAUAUGCAUUCUCUCAUUUAAUCCUUACAACAACCUUCUGCUGUAACCGUGUUAUUAUAGGAACUGAGAAUUCCCACAGAUCGAAAAAUUUGACUAACUUGACCAGUUAGUGGCAAAGCUGGCCUCAAAACAGGUCUGACACAAAAGCCCAAAUUUGACACUUUCACUACAUUGCCGCCUCCUUUGACAACUCAUCAUUUAAUUAUUCCCAUGAAAGAAUAGGUUGUUUUUGAGAAACCUUAAUAGCAUCCAUAUAGAACACAGUAUUUUAAACACUGGGUAUUAUUGGUUACUUAUGUGGUAUAUAAUGUAAAUCAGAUGAGACUCUCCUAAGACAAAUAAUCUCAUUAGACAAAUAAAAGUGGCCAGGGAGCCUGGCUGGCUCAUUCAGUAGAGGAUGUGACUCUUGAUCUACGGGACGUGAGUUCGAGUCCCACAUUGGGCAUAGAGAUUACUUAACAACAACAACAACAACAACAACAACAACAACAACAACAAACUGGAAGAAUACAAG